GACGAACGCUGGCGGCGUGCUUAACACAUGCAAGUCGAACGGAAAGGCCCUGCUUUUGUGGGGUGCUCGAGUGGCGAACGGGUGAGUAACACGUGAGUAACCUUCCCUUGACUUUGGGAUAACUUCAGGAAACUGGGGCUAAUACCGGAUAGGAGCUCCUGCUGCAUGGUGGGGGUUGGAAAGUUUCGGCGGUUGGGGAUGGACUCGCGGCUUAUCAGCUUGUUGGUGGGGUAGUGGCUUACCAAGGCUUUGACGGGUAGCCGGCCUGAGAGGGUGACCGGCCACAUUGGGACUGAGAUACGGCCCAGACUCCUACGGGAGGCAGCAGUGGGGAAUAUUGCACAAUGGGCGGAAGCCUGAUGCAGCAACGCCGCGUGCGGGAUGAAGGCCUUCGGGUUGUAAACCGCUUUCGCCUGUGACGAAGCGUGAGUGACGGUAAUGGGUAAAGAAGCACCGGCUAACUACGUG
rnacentral:rRNA from 1 species